GACGAACGCUGGCGGCGUGCUUAACACAUGCAAGUCGAACGAAGAGCGAUGGAAGCUUGCUUCUAUCACUCUUAGUGGCGAACGGGUGAGUAACGCGUAAUCAACCUGCCCUUCAGAGGGGGACAACAGUUGGAAACGACUGCUAAUACCGCAUACGAUCUAAUCUCGGCAUCGAGGAAAGAUGAAAGGUGGCCUCUAUUUAUAAGCUAUCACUGAAGGAGGGGAUUGCGUCUGAUUAGCUAGUUGGAGGGGUAACGGCCCACCAAGGCGAUGAUCAGUAGCCGGUCUGAGAGGAUGAACGGCCACAUUGGGACGGAGACACGGCCCAGACUCCUACGGGAGGCAGCAGUGGGGAAUCUUCCGCAAUGGACGAAAGUCUGACGGAGCAACGCCGCGUGAGUGAUGACGGCCUUCGGGUUGUAAAGCUCUGUUAAUCGGGACGAAAGGCCUUCUUGCGAACAGUUAGAAGGAUUGACGGUACCGGAAUAGAAAGCCACGGCUAACUACGUG
rnacentral:rRNA from 1 species